AGAGUUUGAUCCUGGCUCAGGAUGAACGCUAGCGGCAGGCCUAAUACAUGCAAGUCGGACGGGAUUGAGGAGCUUGCUCUUCAUGAGAGUGGCGCACGGGUGCGUAACACGUAUGUAACCUACCUUUGUCAGGGGGAUAGCCUCUCGAAAGAGAGAUUAAGCCCGCAUAAAAUCACACUGUGGCAUCACAGAAUGAUCAAAUAUUUAUAGGACAAAGAUGGGCAUGCGGAACAUUAGCUAGUUGGUAAGGUAACGGCUUACCAAGGCAACGAUGUUUAGGGGAUCUGAGAGGAUGACCCCCCACACUGGUACUGAGACACGGACCAGACUCCUACGGGAGGCAGCAGUAAGGAAUAUUGGUCAAUGGACGGAAGUCUGAACCAGCCAUGCCGCGUGCAGGAAGACGGCCCUACGGGUUGUAAACUGCUUUUGUACGGGAAUAAACCCAGAUACGUGUAUCUGGCUGAAUGUACUGUAAGAAUAAGGAUCGGCUAACUCCGUGCCAGCAGCCGCGGUAAUACGGAGGAUCCGAGCGUUAUCCGGAUUUAUUGGGUUUAAAGGGUGCGUAGGCGGCCUGUUAAGUCAGGGGUGAAAGACGGUAGCUCAACUAUCGCAGUGCCCUUGAUACUGAUGGGCUUGAAUGUACUAGAGGUAGGCGGAAUGUGACAAGUAGCGGUGAAAUGCAUAGAUAUGUCACAGAACACCAAUUGCGAAAGGCAGCUUACUAUGGUAUGAUUGACGCUGAGGCAC
rnacentral:rRNA from 1 species